rnacentral:rRNA from 1 species
UACGUAGGGUGCAAGCGUUGUCCGGAAUUAUUGGGCGUAAAGAGCUCGUAGGCGGUUUGUCGCGUCGGCUGUGAAAACCUAGGGCUCAACCCUGGGCCUGCAGCCGAUACGGGCAAGCUAGAGUUCGGUAGGGGAGACUGGAAUUCCUGGUGUAGCGGUGAAAUGCGCAGAUAUCAGGAGGAACACCGGUGGCGAAGGCGGGUCUCUGGGCCGAUACUGACGCUGAGGUGCGAAAGCGUGGGGAGCAAACAGG